rnacentral:rRNA from 1 species
UACGUAGGGGGCAAGCGUUGUCCGGAAUUAUUGGGCGUAAAGCGCGCGCAGGCGGUCAAUUAAGUCUGGUGUUUAAGGCUGGGGCUCAACCCCAGUUCGCACUGGAAACUGGUUGACUUGAGUGCAGAAGAGGAAAGUGGAAUUCCACGUGUAGCGGUGAAAUGCGUAGAGAUGUGGAGGAACACCAGUGGCGAAGGCGACUUUCUGGGCUGUAACUGACGCUGAGGCGCGAAAGCGUGGGGAGCAAACAGG